rfam:Ixodes scapularis strain Wikel colony gcontig_1107728544834, whole genome shotgun sequence.
GCAGUGGUGGCCGAGUGGUUAAGGCGAUGAACUAGAAAUCCAUUGGGGUCUCCAGGCACAGGUUCGAGUCCUGUCGACUGCG